GAUGAACGCUGGCGGCGUGCCUAAUACAUGCAAGUCGAGCGAACAGAUGAGGAGCUUGCUCCUCUGACGUUAGCGGCGGACGGGUGAGUAACACGUGGAUAACCUACCUAUAAGACUGGGAUAACUUCGGGAAACCGGAGCUAAUACCGGAUAAUAUAUUGAACCGCAUGGUUCAAUAGUGAAAGACGGUUUUGCUGUCACUUAUAGAUGGAUCCGCGCCGCAUUAGCUAGUUGGUAAGGUAACGGCUUACCAAGGCAACGAUGCGUAGCCGACCUGAGAGGGUGAUCGGCCACACUGGAACUGAGACACGGUCCAGACUCCUACGGGAGGCAGCAGUAGGGAAUCUUCCGCAAUGGGCGAAAGCCUGACGGAGCAACGCCGCGGGAGUGAUGAAGGUCUUCGGAUCGUAAAACUCUGUUAUAGGGAAGAACAAAUGUGUAAGUAACUAUGCACGUCUUGACGGUACCUAAUCAGAAAGCCACGGCUAACUACGUG
rnacentral:rRNA from 1 species